UCCCAUGUGGCUCAGUUGGUAGAGCAUGGUGCUUGCAAUGCCAGGGUUGUGGGUUUGAUUCCCACAGGGGAC
rnacentral:tRNA from 1 species